rnacentral:lncRNA from 1 species
GGAGGAGCGGAAGAGGCACGUGCCGCGUUUGUCACGUGGCCCCCGUGUGUUAACUCGAUUGGUGAAUAAAUAAUUGGCGCUGAGCAAUGUUUUUAAUUUAUUCCGUUUCCAUGAGAACAAAUGUUUUGUUUAUCGGGGCCACUGUUUAAAGCCAUAUACCGUAUUGUGUGUUGGUACCGAUCAAAGAGCUGCUGGUUUCCAGUGGUUCUCUCAUAUUGUUCGCCACAUUCUGAGCUGACAAUGAGCGCGUCUGCUAAUGCGCGUCAGUUUGGAAGCACUUUCGUUCAGGAAGAGAGUUACGAGAAAAAGGAAGAGGAAGAGCUGCUGGGCAGAAAAGAUGAAGGCAGCAGCAUCAGGACUGCAAAGCAGAAGGGUGAGUUGAAGAGCUUGUCCCAGGUGGUUUCAGCCAGCGUCCUCAGACACACACAGCGGGUGCUGAAAAGAGAGGCUGCUCUUUGGCACAGAGCACUUGUCAUGGUGAGCAACGCCGUGAGGAAUAGCGCUGUGUCGUAGAUGUAAACAAGAAAGAAACAGGACCAAGGAGAAUCACAAAGUGACAUAAGAGGAACAUCAUCCUACAGCAGCUCUCCAGUACUGCUCAAGACAUUCACCUGGUCUGCUUUCUAAGUCUUCUUGGGCUGUGGGCUCCGUGAUGAGUACCACACGAGUCCCGCACAUGAGUACCACACGAGUACCAUACACGUGCGUAACGAGAAGUUCAGCUGUAUCGUCGUCAUCCGUUUCCAGCACAAGGGGGAGAUAUAUUUACAUGUAUUCCUUCAUAAAACAGACAGACCAGCCUUGUACACUGGCUUCUCACCUUAGGAACACAAUUGGGACUGGAAGUCUGUUAGUGAGCCCA